CUCUGUAGCUCAGUCGGUAGAGCAACAGACUGAAAAUCUGUGUGUCGGGAGUUCAAUUCUCCCCGGAG
rnacentral:tRNA from 1 species